ACCCAGUCAGAAGAGAUGAGGGUCCCUCCACAGACGUGCCUCCAGCGCCCACUGCCGUCCGACUGAAGAGAGAUCUGAGCACAGCAGAGAGAGGGGACAAGGCCAGCUGUGAGGCCUGACGUCCUCUCCUGCCACCACCCUGCUCAGCACAGGGGGGAAGGUGGGGAGGCCACAUCCGUAUGCUGGGACAAGUGGGAGUGUCGGAGCUUACAGAGCUGAUCCAGUCGAUGUAGGAGCUGACUCGGGUGAACACGGUGGGCUUUUUGGGGAAAUUGCAGCUGAGCCCGGAUCCGAAGCUGACGAUGCCCUGGACCUCCCAGGCUCCAUCAGUCCUCCUGCAGUUCAGAGGGCCGCCGGAGUCCCCCUGAGUCAUCCAGACACAACUCCAUCUCCACCGGCACACACCAUGGUCUCCUUCACCUGAGCCCCCCACCAAUCAGACUUGGUGCAGGUGGCGUGGUCCACCACAGGCAGGAGGGCCUGCUGCAGGAUAUCAGCGAUGGGACCCCCGGCUGUGAGGGGCAGAGAUGCUCAAUACCUCAACUUCAGCUCAGGUUAAACACUGGUGAGAAACUUUGGGCAAACAAAUCAUUUCUCUCCACCGUUUAACCGUGGAUACAAAUAAAU